CCACAGGCUUUUUAAAGCCACCAGUAAAUUUCAAAAAUGGUCUU
rfam:TPA: Bos taurus chromosome 9, whole genome shotgun sequence.